CUCUAAUUUAACGAGUUCUUUUAUGCAUCUAUAUGUUUUUGGUCACUGCCAUUCUAACAGUAUUUGUCAGGAAGUGUGUAAUGUCAAGGGGAGAUGGUGUAUAAAAUCAGGGACUAAUCAGUUGAUGAAGUUCAAGGGUCUUUUGUUGCCCAGGUGUGUAAUAUUACUUUCACACCACUCUACAGUCAUUUCAAGUGGAUACUACUUUUGAUAAUUUCUGGGUGUUGGGAGAGAUUACUCCCUACUGCAAGCUAUACAGUAGUUACUCAAUAAUGAUGCUAAACUUAAAGAAAUUGCAAUAUAAUCAAGGCCCAAUGGGAAGCUGCAAUAGUGAAGGGCUGUAUCCUUUAUUGUGAUAAAAGGAAAAGAAAAUGUUAAUAGAGAAUCCUCAUAAAGAAGUUCAUUCAACCUUUCUUCUUCCCUUAUUUGAAAACAUAAAUAGCAUAUUCUGAACUCAUGCAUAUAGAUUCUGAAUAAUUUAUUUGGCAAAUUGAAAAUGCACAAAAAAGAAGAAACCUAGACUCGGAUAGUUUGUUAAUUUCUUACAUAGUUCACUAUUUGAAUUGCACAUUGAAAUUCAACUUUUUGAGACACUAUGAUCUAGCAUUGUGUUAUGUGCUCUAGCCUUGGAUCGAGUAAUGGGACCUUGAAGUGUAAAAUCCUCUCCUAACUGUAUUGGAGAAGGAGAUUUAUUGGGAUUCUUCCUUCCUCUGCCUAUCUUGACUGACUAAUAAUAAUAUGAGAGCUCAAUUAGGGAGAGAGCUCACUGAUCUCACAAUAUUUAGAUGAAAGUUUGCUUGCCUCCUCAUUAACAAUCUCGUCUUUAAAUACACAGC
rnacentral:lncRNA from 1 species